GACGAACGCUGGCGGCGUGCUUAACACAUGCAAGUCGAACGGAAAGACACUGCUUUUUUGGGGUGCCCGAGUGGCGAACGCGUGCGUAACACGUGAGUAACCUGCCCUUGACUUUGGGAUAACUUCAGGCAACUGGGGCUACUAUCGGACAGGAGACCCCCCUCCAUGGUGGGGGUUGGAUAGUUUCGGCGGUUGGGGAUGGACUCGCGGCUUAUGAGCUUGUUGGUCGGGUAGUGGCUUACCAAGGCUUUGACUGGUAGCCGGCCCGAGAGGUUGACCGGCGUCAAGAGUACUACGAGACGGACCAGACUCCUACGGUAGACAGCAGUGGCAAGUAUUGCACAAUGGUAGGAAGCCGGAUACAGCAACGUCGCGUUCGUGAUGACGUCCUGCGGGUAGAAAACCGCAGCCGCUUGAGACGAAGCUGUAGUGACGGUAAUGGGUGAAUAAGCACCGGCUAACUUCGUG
rnacentral:rRNA from 1 species